AUAAUCCCUUAACCCCCAUUUUAUCCCCAAACACCCCAAAAAAUAAGUGGGGUUAGCUAACCCCAUCUAACCCCACCUCAAAUAAAUUAUCCCGAGUUAGCUAAUCCCACCUAACCCCACCAAACUCCAACCAAACACUAUUUUCUAUUCAUAAUAACCCACUAUCUUUUUUAUCACACCUACUCCAACCAAUCAUUAUCCUUCUUUAUCAAUCAUUAUCUUCUUAUCCCACCUACUCCAACCAAACACUAUUUUUCAUUAUUCUAGACUAACUCCAACCUCCAACCAAACACAAAAAAACUUUAACCCCACUUUAACCCUGAACUUAACUCUAUCCCUGGAAUAGCUAUUUUUUUCUUAACCCCGAACCAAACGGAGGCUUAAAAGCAUUAAGGCUUUGUACUUACAAUGUUUUAGCCUCUCGAUAUAUCUCUUUGACCAUUAGAUUAAAAG
rnacentral:lncRNA from 1 species